rnacentral:SRP_RNA from 1 species
GCUGGGCGUGGUGGCGUGCGCCUGUAAUCUAGCUACUUGGAGGCCAGGGUGCGGGAUUUCGUGGGACCGGGAGUUCUGGCAUAUGGGUGCUCAUGUUGAUCGGGCGUCCACGCUAAGCACGGCGCCGAUAUGGAUGAGCUGUCGGAGGACGGGUUGUGUGGGAUCCUCUAGAGUCGACCUGCAGGCAUGCAAGCUUGAGUAUUCUAUAGUCAAAAGUCCCCGCGUGGUGCGGUAGCGGGAUAGCGCCUGUGAAUGGUGUCCAUGUGACAGCCCGGUUGGCGCGUGAAGACCGCCUCCUUU